GAUGAAGAACGCAGCGAAAUGCGAUAAGUAAUGUGAAUUGCAGAGUUCAGUGAAUCAUCGAAUCUUUGAACGCACAUUGCGCCCGCCAGUAUUCUGGCGGGCAUGCCUGUUCGAGCGUCAUUACAACCCUCAGGCCCCCGGGCCUGGCGUUGGGGAUCGGCAGAAGCCCCCUGUGGGCACACGCCGUCCCUCAAAUACAGUGGCGGUCCCGCCGCAGCUUCCAUUGCGUAGUAGCUAACACCUCGCAACUGGAGAGCGGCGCGGCCAUGCCGUAAAACACCCAACUUCUGAAUGUUGACCUCGAAUCAGGUAGGAAUACCCGCUGAACUUAAGCAUAUCAAUAAGCGGAGGA
rnacentral:misc_RNA from 1 species